GUAGGUGGCAAGCGUUGUCUGGGAAUUAUUGGGGCGUAAAGCGCGCGCAGGCGGUUCUUUAAGUCUGAUGUGAAAGCCCACGGGCUCAACCGUGGAGGGUCAUUGGAAACUGGAGAACUUGAGUACAGAAGAGGAAAGCGGAAUUCCACGUGUAGCGGUGAAAUGCGUAGAGAUGUGGAGGAACACCAGUGGCGAAGGCGGCUUUCUGGUCUGUAACUGACGCUGAGGCGCGAAAGCGUGGGGAGCAAACAGGAUUAGAUACCCUGGUAGUCCACGCCGUAAACGAUGAGUGCUAAGUGUUAGGGGGUUUCCGCCCCUUAGUGCUGCAGCUAACGCAUUAAGCACUCCGCCUGGGGAGUACGGCCGCAAAGGCUGA
rnacentral:rRNA from 1 species